UGAUUGGCGCGCUUUCCCCAGGCGCUGGGAUGGUUUUGGUGUCUGUGCUGAACUGGGAGGAAAGACAUCCUUGAAGCAUUUCCGCGGCGUGCCCGUGCUGGGAAAUUGGUGAUUUCACCCACUACGCGCACGAACGCUGCCAGCUGCGCUUUCUGCAGGGUUGCCAAGGAGUGAGCAACGUGCACGCGGCUUCAGAAUCAUCCCUUUGUGGCACUGCCCUCACCCACGCUGACCUGGAGCCUUGCAAACCCAGGGCCCGGAUCAAAAUGAUGCGGCUAGCCGGGCGUGGUGGCGCGCGCCUUUAAUCCCAGCACGCUUGAGAGGCGGAU